GUCUGAUGGCAAAACGUGUUAUUUGUUGAGGAGGGUUUUUGGGUUCGAAUCCGGCUAACAACAUUGAAUUUUUUUUUUUUUUUUUUUUAAUAAUCUUCUUCUUCUUCUCCUUCAACCGAAUUGUAUAUGCUUCUUACCUUUUUCCAGUGAACUUCUUAAUCUCAGAUAUCUACCACGCUUCAUCUCAUUGUCUGGUUUGAUCUCUUCUUCCUUGUUCUCUAGAUCUAGAUGUGGCAAUAAGAUCUGAGAUCUGUGAAGAUGCAAGGAAAGCUUUAUCGACGACUUAAGGGUUCUUCCGCAUAGGUCACAAGGACAAUCAAAUCGAACCCACAAACGCUAAUCCCUGACGUGAACUGUUGCAUUCGGUAGUAACAACAAUUCAAAACAACAAAUUGAUUCGAUUCAAUCGAAGAAGAAGCAGAUUAAGAAAAAAAAACAAAAAAGGAAAAUAAAUUUAACUAGUUAUCAGGUGGAAUCGAACCCACCAA
rnacentral:lncRNA from 1 species